ensembl:lncRNA
ACUGCUGACCUCUGCACUCUCUCCACCACCAGAACCUCCUCCCACUUCCUCUCUCCCUCAGUAUUGCUAAGCCUAGAGCUGAAGGGGACAAAGGACUUCUCCUCAAGUAUGGAUGCCUGACCUGAAGCCUGAGACGCCGAGCAGCCUUGGCCAUCAGAGAAGAUGAGAGCAGUGCUACCCCACCCUGUGGACGUGGGCUCUGUACCUGUGACCAAAGCAGCUCGGCCUGGAGCAGGCAGACCCCCUGGUCAUCCCACGUGGACAAUGACCACUGUGUGACCGUCCACCACAAAA